rnacentral:rRNA from 1 species
CGGACGGGUGAGUAAUGUCUGGGAAACUGCCUGAUGGAGGGGGAUAACUACUGGAAACGGUAGCUAAUACCGCAUAACGUCGCAAGACCAAAGAGGGGGACCUUCGGGCCUACUUGCCAUCAGAUGUGCCCAGAUGGGAUUAGCUAGUAGGUGGGGUAACGGCUCACCUAGGCGACGAUCCCUAGCUGGUCUGAGAGGAUGACCAGCCACACUGGAACUGAGACACGGUCCAGACUCCUACGGAAGGCAGCAG